ensembl:lncRNA LINC00293 long intergenic non-protein coding RNA 293
AUAUCUAGGCAAAUUGCCUAGAAGUGAAUCCCCUCUCCUGCUUAAGUCCUUCCCACAGAGAGCGGUUUGAUAUGUCACUGAAACCAGCAUCCAGGUGGUAUUGCUCCAUAUGCCUGAGACCCUAACAAAAGCCUAAUUACAACUCAUAUGCCUGGAGCCAGGACAUGUGCAGGAUGGUGAUGUAACUUUCCUCUCUGGAAUGGGUCCUGCACAAAGGAAUGAUAGUAACAUAUUGCAAAGCCAGACACACAGCCAUGAUGGUCCAAGUUAUAUUGGGAUUCAGCCAAUAGAAGAUAUUUUGCCUGUCAUCCCUAAGCUUAGGACAAUAGGGUCCUGCCCACAAGAAAGAUUGUGACAUCUCACUGGACAAGCACCCACCCAGACUCUGCCAAGAGAGGGGAUUAUUACAUAUUGCAGAGCCCAGCACCUAGGUGGAGUGACUCUCAUCUUUUUCUUCUACCCCGUAUAUAGCCAGCUUGGUGACCUACUAUUUGAGUCUAUACCCAGGCCCAGACCACAGAUGAAAUUGUGCAAUAUGUGGAACAAACACCUAAACAAUAUAUAACACCUUCCUUGGCUCUGUCUACAAAGGGCACUUUUAUAUAUCACUGGGACCAUCAACCAGGUGAUGUUAAUUAUCUUCCUGAAACCUGUCUACAAAGAGAGUUGUGUCGUAUACCUAGGCCCGUCAUGUGAUGUUGUGCCAUAUAACUGAGACCGUAUCAAAAGCCUAAUAACAAGACGUAUGUCUGGAGCCCCGAUAUGCACAGGAUGGUGAUAUAACCCUCUUCUCUGGAAUGGGCCCCACACAAAGGAAGGAUAGUGACAUAUUGCAAGCCCAGGCACACAGGCCCAGAGCACAGUUGAAAUUGUGACAUAUGUACACCAAGCAACCAAGCAAUGUAUAACACCUCAUUUGGCAAUGGAAUCGAGGGCACUUUUACAUAUCACUGAGACCAGCGCCCAGCUGAUGUGAAAUAUUGGCCUGAACCCUGCCUACAAAAGCAUUGUGGCUUUUAUCUAGCUCCAUUACAUAAGUGAUGUGACUUCCUUCUACUGCCUUGGCCCUGCACUUAUGGUGAAUCGUGACACAAAAUUGGGUAGAGCAACCAGCCUGGGCCCUGACCAGCACAGAGAUUGAGGCAUAUUGCUGAACCCAGGACCAAGAUGAAGUCACUCUCCUGCCUUGAUCCUGCACACAGGGACCCUUGUGACAUAUAUACAGGCCAAUUGCCUAGGUGUUAUUGUCACAUAUACCUUUUCCAGCUCCAAAGUGAUUUAAUAAUCCAGCCUAGUUAUAGCCCACAGAUAAUAUUUGGACAUAUACCUGAGUCAAGAACCUUGGUGAUUUGACUCUCAUGUCUUAACAGUGUCCUCAGAAGGGAUCAUAACAUAUCUCUGGACCCAUCAUCUAGGUUAUGUGACUCUCUUCUCCUGCCUGAACCCUGCUUCCAGUGAAGAGUGUUGCAUUUCUAAGCACUGCAUCCAAAUGACAUGAGUUUCUUGCCUGGGCCGUUUCAACAGAAGGCAUUGUGACAUAUCUCUAGGUCUAUCAUUUAGGUGAUAUGACUCUCCUCUCCUGCCUGGACACUCUCCACAAGGGGCAUUAUGCCAUAGAGCUAGAGCUAGCAACCAAGUUUUGUGAAUUUUCUGUUAGGGCCUUGCCUACAAAGAGAAUUUUGGAAUAUUUCUGGCUUAGAAUUUAAGUAAUGUGGUUGUUCUGCCUGUUCAGUAACCACAGAGGAGAAGGUGAAAUAUAUCUAGGCACCGCAAACAGGCAUGAUAAUGAGUCUUGUAUGUGGACCCAGCAAAUAGGAGAAAUUUUGACUCUUAUAACUAGGUUUAGGAACAUGAGUGAUGUCCAGGAUCUCCUUCUGGUAAGAAGGUCACAGAAGAUUGCAACACUCACAAUUAUUUUGUAACACCUUUGGGUUGUAUAGGGAGUGUCGUAACAGGGCCAAACACACAGAGGAAAUUGUGACAGUCAUAUGCACACCUACCUGACAGUAAAGACUUUCACAAUCACAAAUGGAUGAAGGCAACUGUCCUACAUGAAAACAGGACAUGUGUGGUAUUGUACAUCUAAAACCUAGAAUUUUAUUCCAUUGUGACUGUGAUAUAAAUCAAUGCCAAGCACCUGCG